AGAACGAACGCUGGCGGCAUGCCUAACACAUGCAAGUCGAACGAGACCUUCGGGUCUAGUGGCGCACGGGUGCGUAACGCGUGGGAAUCUGCCCUUGGGUUCGGAAUAACAGCGAGAAAUUGCUGCUAAUACCGGAUGAUGACGUAAGUCCAAAGAUUUAUCGCCCAAGGAUGAGCCCGCGUAGGAUUAGCUUGUUGGUGAGGUAAGAGCUCACCAAGGCGACGAUCCUUAGCUGGUCUGAGAGGAUGAUCAGCCACACUGGGACUGAGACACGGCCCAGACUCCUACGGGAGGCAGCAGUGGGGAAUAUUGGACAAGUGGGCGAAAGCCUGAUCCAGCAAUGCCGCGUGAGUGAUGAGGGUCCUUAGGGUUGUAAAGCUUCUUUUACCCGGAUGAUAAUGACAGUACCGGAG
rnacentral:rRNA from 1 species